GACGAACGCUGGCGGCGUGCUUAACACAUGCAAGUCGAACGGAAAGGCCCUGCUUUUGUGGGGUGCUCGAGUGGCGAACGGGUGAGUAACACGUGAGUAACCUGCCCUUGACUUUGGGAUAACUUCAGGAAACUGGGGCUAAUACCGGAUAGGAGCUCCUGCUGCAUGGUGGGGGUUGGAACGUUUCGGCGGUUGGGGAUGGACUCGCGGCUUAUCAGCUUGUUGGUGGGGUAGUGGCUUACCAAGGCUUUGACGGGUAGCCGGCCUGAGAGGGUGACCGGCCACAAUGGGACUGAGAUACGGCCCAGACGCCUACGGGAGGCAGAAGUGGGGAAUAUUGCACAAUGGGCGGAAGCCUGAUGCAGCAACGCCGCGUGCGGGAUGACGGCCUUCGGGUUGUAAACCGCUUUCGCCUGUGACGAAGCGUGAGUGACGGUAAUGGGUAAAGAAGCACCGGCUAACUACGUG
rnacentral:rRNA from 1 species